UCAUUUCCCGCUUCACCCCCCUCCACGCGAAACCCACAACCCGGCCAAGCAUCCGGCCAUGGAUUUGGUCAUGGAUUCAACUGUUCAGACUAUUGUUGUAGUAGCAGUUGUUCCGCAUGGGGUUUUACAGCUUGGAUCUUUAGAUAAGAGUAACUGAGGAUGUCAAUCUUGUGGCUCGCAUCAGAAAUGUUUUUCUAACUCUCCAGGAGUCAUCAGCAGGGCAUAUUAAGCCAAUGCAGUCAUGUAAAAGCUCAGGAUACGUGGCAGACAUUCCAUCUAGAAGCUUAGCAACACAGAAAAGUGAAGAUGAAAAUGUCAGCAAGAAUGUGGGGAUAGAGUUGUCACGAUCUGAGGGCACUGAAUCUCUAAAAACAAAGCCAGAUGCUAUCAAUGUGGAGAGUUUUAAAUCACAAGUGAGAUUGCUUGAUGACAGGAUAUGUGGAGGGGAGUCUAGUGGGUGCAAAGAAGCAAAAUUCUGCCAUGGAUAUGGUUAAUAUAUGUGUGGGACGUUUAGCCGAACCAAUCCUACAGAAAUGUACUUUCAAAAUGAUAUGGAAGCAUCAGAAACUAUUGAUAUGUAUCCGUCAAACACAUCGUUGAAGUUCCCUGCUGGUUAUGAGCUGCAUGAAGUACUUGGUCCUGCUUUUCUGAAAGAUGCUCUUUAUCUUGACUGGCAAACAGAGUAUGUUUUUGGUGGUAAAGCUUUUGAGUUAUAUGAGAGAAUGAGUGGUAGCCAGUUGACAUCUGAUUCACCGACAGAGCGUCUUCUAGAAGCUGUAGUCGCUGAUGUUUGUCACAGUGGUUCUGAUAUUAAAAGUGACACAUCCCUGUGCAAGUCUGGACAGUCUCUGUCAACUUGUGUUUGAAUAGUAGUUUCCUAUUAAAUGAAAAGAAGAUGUUGAGAUCAUAAUUGAUUUGUUUGCUGGUGAUUCUAUCUUGUGUUUGAAUGUUGAGGAAAAAUGAAAUUAUUUUGUACAAAGAAGGAAGAGAAAGGUUGAGAGCGCUCAAUGCUUAGCAAUAAUGGCGAUUUUUUUAAGAUCAAAAGACUUAUAAUGCAGAUUUACGCAUGCAAGGUAAGGGAUGAGAAGUAGACAACAAGAUUUUAACAUGGUUUGGCAAGAGGUGCCUACGUCCACGAGAAGAGCUGAGAUUUCUUGAGAAGUAGAAAGGGAAAAAUAUUACAGAUAAAUUCGUCUAACUCAUUGAUUUUUCUCUUAAUUCGUCUAACUCAUUGAUUUCUCUCUUAAUUCGUCUAACUCAUUGAUUUCUCUCUUUUUUUUUAUCUCUCUCUUUUAAAUCUUUUAUAUAUAGGAUGUUUACAAUUUUGUUGAGAGAUAAAAGUAAGAUAAAAUGUCUGUUUCACUUUAAAUAGUUACUGUUUUAACACUUUUCAAUAUAUAUGAGGAAGAACGGUAUGUCAUAAUCAAGCAUGGAACACAAUCAUGAGAGAGUCAGUGUGCUGCAACACAUGGGAUGCAAAUAUCUCAGUUCAAGAAGGUACUUUGUUAUGCUCACAAUUGCUAUUCUUCUGAGGUUGGGAAAGAAGUGAGUUACUAAACCAACUCAAGAAGGAUUUGGAAGGAAGAUAGGAAGAUUGCAUUGGACAUAUUUUAAGAAGGUUGAUAAGUGGAGAAGAUGCACCAAACACAAAAAGGACUUCAUAACAACAUUAAUAACAAGUACAAGUUCAAUACAAAAGAUGCAUAUACGCAAGGAGAGAUCGACGUAAUUCGGACCCAAUGGGCAAGUUGUAUUGGCCGAUUUGUGUAAGGAUGUAAUUCUUGUUUUUUAUCUCAAUAGAAUGUAAAUGCUAGCUUAGAAUGAAUGUAAAUUUAUUUAACUAUGAUCUUUGUGAAUGGAAUUAGUACUAAUAUGAUAUUUGUGAAUGAGAGAAAUGAUGGCUUGAUGUAAGUAU